CUUAAAGUUCAGCAGAGGCUGAAAAAGUGUUCGACGCAGAGAGAGGGCGGCCGGUAGAAAAUCAGAGUUAUCGUAUAAGUGUGAAUAUGAGAAGAGAUUUUUUUCUUUUUUCUGGUGCUAUUAUAUAAGGGAUUACCGAAGUGAUUUGUGAUUUGUGUAUGGGAUAUCUUUUCCUGAAAAUUAGCUCACGAAAAUUUUGAAAAUUUAACUGUGCCGCCAAUUCCUUGUUUCCUAUUUUUUUUUCUUUUUCAAG
rnacentral:lncRNA from 1 species